AACCCUGCUGGGAGUGACAGGAUUUCUUUUUGUGCGCGGAGCAGCAUCCCGAGGGACGUCCGAAUCGUCUUCCACGUUCAGUCUGAAAACUGCAAUACGGUUUUCUUUGAGUUUUCUGUGUCACAUUUUCUUUAUUGCCUGAACCCUGUAAAUUAAUUCCCCCGUCUCUCGUGACCAGGUACAGCGGGCCUGAACGGCACGGCGGAAUGGGGGUGUUGGACGCAGGCGCCUCAACGGCCAAGCAACAGAAUUGCCAUUCAUUUUAAUUGCAUUGAGGCCUCAGUUUUGUCCUCUUAAAGUUAAAUGCCUGUGUGAAUGUGCAAGCUGACGCGUACAGCCUACCCUGCAGCCAGGAUAGAUCGUGGUCAUCACUCACCAAGGGCAUUAUGCUUGUCUUUUUAAAAGCAAGUUAGAAGGCAGCAAAAAAGGCAGCAAAAAGGUCUCAAACCUAGAAAAUGGUUUUUGAUAUGGCAUGUUAUCACACAGAUGAUCCCAAAUAUUACAGUAACCAUUUCUGAAGGUGACAGAUGCAGAAAGACCUUCAUGGAUAACAACCGUUGUGUCCUAGAAGAAGGAACAUGCAUCCUUGAGACAAAAAGUCCAUUUAUUCAACAUUUACUAUGAAAUACAGUUUUUGAAAUACACCACCUGCCAUGCGUGUGAGAUAGCAGAAAAGGAAGAGGUUGAAGAACUUGCAGACAAGACAAAAACCAAGUCUCAAAGAUCACUUCUUGUCCUCUCCAGCAUGCCAGGAUGGAUGUGUGAUCCAGAAAGGUUCUAAAAGCCUUGACCCAGUGCCUGAGAAGUUGUGCACAGGAGAAAAGGAUGGGAGGGUGUCCUGGGGUGACUGGUUACCCAGAAUGGGAUUGUGAGUUGUGAUUGUUACAAGUGAAAUAGCAUGUUCCCACCCUGCAGAUAUCAUUUGUUUGGGUUUUUUUGAUCAAAGACUUAGGAGAAAUACACAGUCCUUAAAGAAUACAGGGCCUAUUGCUUUUUUGUGUUUCAUUUAGACGUCAUAUCCCAGUGAUUCAGAAGGCUCUGCUCUUCAUCAUAGAAAUCAGGAUCUAAGAUUCAGGAAUAAUUAAAUGCAGGCUUCUCCUAUUUCACAUGCUUUUUAACUUUAUAACUUCGGGUCAGUUUGGGUUUUAAGGAAAGAAGAAUGGCUUUGUCUUCCACAGCUUCAAGUCAUUUAUUUCUGGUUUGGUUUUAUUUUCUCCUUCUCUUCAUUUUAAAUAUCAAAUACAAUAGAAAAGGCUUUCAUUUAGAUGCUUUGUGCAAUUUUUGACUUCAGGAAAUAAUAAAUUUGUUUUAUCCAAACUGUACACCCUAAAUAACAAAUAUAUAACAUCACAUUCAUAAGGUAGAAUAAGAAAACUUAAAUCUUACAUUUUAAAUCAGAUUCUUAGUAUAGUUAAGUAGGACUUCUUAACCUUUUAAUUCUUAGAGCUUGAGACUACUAACAAAUCUAUUGCUUCCAAAAGCAGCCAAAGGAGAUUUGGCCACAAGCUGUCAAAACAAGAAAUUAUCACAUCUAGAAGUAUCUGCUUUCUUUGUGUACGUUUGUUGAGUAGAUGGAGAACUAAAAUAUUAGUGAAAUAACUGCAUUUUUCAAACCACUAUUCAAAUUAUUAUUAACAUAAAAACCUUUACUGUUUUGAGUGAUGAUUGGCAGAAAGUCAUAGAAAGAAAAUGCAUGGCAGACUAUUAGCAUGUUCACUUCUCAUUAAAGAUGUAAAGGAUAAAAAAAUUCUAAAAAUACAACCAGUAACAUUUUACUUCUAAAACAAUGAAAUGCGGAAGAAAAGGCUUUUUCAAUGGGAGAAGCUCUGAAUAGAAGCUGGUAGAGCCUAUUUAGAAGACUUUUGUGUGACUCCUAUGCUGAACAAAAUGUGGAAUCUAAGCUGUUGUUAAAUGCAGAUAAAGGUCAGAGAUCAUGAUCUCUGGAGACAAUUGUUUGCAGUAUUUCCAACUUCUUUUGUGUACAGGAGGCAUGUGCAAUGCAAGAAAGUAGACAAAUCACUGCAAAAUAAGGUUUUCUUGGCAACAGAGAGGAAUUUACUGCGCCUAACAAAGACCAGCAUACGGAUGGAUUUGAAAUUCAGACACAGACAACUGUCGCAAUCAAGAACUGAGAAUAAGCAUUUGUCUUGCGUCUGCUGGCUAGUAGGGCAAGGAUAUAAAGCAACUUUUUUCUAGGAAGUUGCCCCUUUGCCCCUGGAGUACUUUCAUAGGAGUUCACACUUAAAAUCUGUAAAUUUAAUUUUUAGUUAUAAGCAUUUACAGAACCUGUAGUUCAUACAUAUUAACAUAGCAUGUCACGCUCUGUGAUCUGGAGUAUCCCUUCGCCAGUUCAGAUCCACUGUCCUGGACAUGCUCCUCCCCAGCUUCUUGUGUACCUCCCUGAUGGCAGAGCACAUGAAACUGAAAAGUCCUUGACUUAGGAUGGGCACUGCUGAGCAACAACCAAAAGCAUCACAACAUCAAUAUUAUUCUCAUAUUGAAACCGAAAUACAGCACUCGCUGGAUCAGCUACUAUGAAGAAAAUUAACACUGUCCAGGUUAAACCAGGACACUGUGCAGACACUGACAUCUCUCCAGAUUCCAGUGAAAACUAAUAUUGCAUAUAGUAUCUGCUAGUAGUGUGAUUACUGAUCUCUUAGAAGUGGUUCUGCAGACUUUACUCAAGUAAAUAAGCUUUGAGGAUGUAAAUUUACACUUAGAAACAUUACUGACAUCCUCUGUAAGACAGCCUGUGACAUUCUUUCUUAGCUCUCUAGACUGAUUAUCAAGCCCUGAGAUGCUGCGGGGCUUGCGGAUCUUCUCACAAACCAUAAUGGUUAGCAUACUCAUAAAUCUUUGUAAAACAAGGUGUUGAAAGAAGCGAAAAAUAAAAUUGACAUGAAGAUACUGGCUGCACCAGCACUGGGCUCCGAAGUUUGCAAUAGGAACUUGGGCUUGGACACCAAUAACACAUAUUAAAAUGUAUGUUUUAUAAUUUAUUGAAAACAUGCAGUUUUCUCUGGAAACAAUUUGGGGAUAUCUGUUUUCACUGGUUUGGAAAUGUAGCUUUGUUUUUACUCAUUGAUUACCUUGAGAUAUGCCACUCUUCUGAACUAACUACAGUAAUUUUUUUACUUUGUAAAUACUAAGUGCCACCCUGAAAACUCAGCUUUUCAAUCUUGUUGACAUGAUUUCUAAGAACUUUCCCAAGACAGUGACUGUAAGCAUAGAUAAGUAUACAUUCUUUCUGAUACACGUCUUUUGGUGGACGUCUCACACGAACAGUGUGAUUGGAAAGGUGGUAACCUAACUAUCUGAUCCCUGGUCAUUGCCAAAAAUCUAUAAAUACUGAAGCUGUAAGAAUAAAACCAGGUUUUUCCCUGUCACAUGA